rnacentral:rRNA from 1 species
GCUGAAACUUAAAGAAUUGACGGAAGGGCACCACCAGGGGUGGAGCCUGCGCUUAAUUUGACUCAACACGGGGAAACUCACCAGGUCCAGACACAAGUAGGAUUGACAGAUUGAGAGCUCUUUCUUGAUUUUGUGGGUGGUGGUGCAUGGCCGUUCUUAGUUGGUGGAGUGAUUUGUCUGCUUAAUUGCGAUAACGAACGAGACCUUAACC